CUUUCUCGCUGCCGCCCCUUUGGCCUCCCGCACCCUCUGCUUUUGACCGUGUUUCGCGAACAUGGGCCAGCAGCUGGCCAGCAUGCCAAGAAACGUGGGCCUGACACCAUCCUUUACUGAGGACUGCUAGCAGAUGAAUAUAUUGAAAGGUGAUGAGUACAGAGGAAGCUGACCGCCAGCCACUCGGUAUGGUAAAAGGAUGAGGACGUAAGAUGCGGAAGGAUUAGAACCGGGCAGGAUUUUCUGAUCUCUGAAGUUGCAGUUUUGCCACGCAGGGGCAAAGACGUGCCUUCCACAGCCCUUGGUGUAAACAGGGUAUUAAGCGGGCUGUGACUCCAUGUGCUGGGAGCAGAUCAGAGCCCAGUCCAGGCCAAGGCUGCGUCCCCUGCCCCUGGUACGUGUGGACAAGUCCUGGCCCAGCAGCUGUGGCCGCUCUCAGGGCAUGGGCAGGCCAUCCAGCCCUGGUCUCACAUUACACCACACACCGCUAUGUGUCAGCAGCCCACCAAAUUCCUAAAAAACCAGGUAACUGCAGAAAAUCUGUC